GCCUACUUAACACAAAGACAGUGAGGAUGAAGACCUUUAUCAUGAGCCACUUCCACAUAAUGAAUGAUGCCACAGCCAUGACCCUUACAAUGGGUGAGAUUUUUUUCUACCCUACAAUGAAUAUUUGAAUGUUCUACAAUCUAGGUACUCAAACUGUGGCCCAACUGCUGGUAGCAUUGGUAUCAACUGGAAGCUUGUUGGAAAUGUAGAAUCUCAGAUCUCACCCCGGAAUGGACUACAGACUCAGACUCUGCAUUUUAAUAAGAUUCACAAUUCACAGGAUUUAUCAUAUCCAGAGGAUGUAUAAACUGAUUCUACAAAAAAGACCUGACACACCUUGUGAAUAAGGACUUUCCUCAUCUACAGCCUGUUGAACUGAUGCUGUUAAUAGUAUAAAAUAAUAAGAUGGCUGAUCCUGCAAAGAGGCGUGGUGACAUCAACAGUGACUCAGUCUCUAUGAUGGUAUUAGUAACUGGCAGCUGACUCUCCUAUUUAUCAUCGAGUUAUGUUCCAUAUAAGACUUUCAAGUCUGAGAAAAAUGACAAAUCCCUUCCAGGCAUGGUUCAAGUUAAAGCUGAAACUGUGUCUUCGUUUCAGCUCAAGAGAGGUUUUGAUUGUGUCGUGGCUUUUCCUUGUGUAUUGGUUGAGGAACUGUGCCUUGGAGGGGUAGGGAGUCUUGAGAAUGGAUCAACUGAUGGAGGGGGAGUGGAAGACAUUGGUCGCCCAAGAAAAUAUGUCAACAUCUGUCCAUCACUACAACUCUGGCCCGAUUAUCAUUUUUUCUGCUUCUGUAAGCACCAAUGAGACAAUGCCACUGAGCCACAUCCUUUGUUGCCUGCAGUAUUUCCCACCACUGUGCCACCUCUGAUAUGCUAAUAGGGAAGCCCAGGGUUUUGUGUGGCUGAAAAGCCUUUCAGGCACAAUCAGUGGGUCAACAAUCUCAACUCUGUACAGCGGCUCAGCCUGCUGUGUGAGAGACUCCUUUCGGAGGGGUCCUUCCUCACACCUUUUCUGUGAGUGUGUCUGUGCUUAAGGAAGGGCAAUUAACCAUCUGGCUGCUUGUCCCCUAGAUAAAUUGACAGAACAUCAAACAGAACAAACUCAUACCUUGAAAAUUGCCGAGUGGCACAUGACUAUCCAGUUCACUCUGUGGAGAAGCCACUAACCAAUGGUCUGUAUCUAAAAAUGACCCAGUGGCCCCAGUUUGUAGUAAAACUUUGAUGAUAGAACUCCAUGCAAAUUCUAUCUCCAUAAUGCUGGUUCUUGAUGUAAAUCUCCCAAUGUAACUGUCAAGGUUUAAAAAUAUCUUACGUAGGUGUUCAGAAUCAUAAGGUCAUAGAAUUAUAAAAUGUUAACUGGCAGAAGUAUUUUCUUCUUUGUCAUAUGAAAAAGAGUAAUUUGCUCAUACUAAGUCUUCAAUAUUUAUGUAUUGGAUUGCAAUUAGCAGGAAUCAAAGGAAUCUUAUAAGGAUCAUUUAUCUAGAAUUAUCUCUAUUUUCUAGAAUUACUUAAUGAUCAUUGUGUCUUUAUUCAGCCUAAGUAACACUGAAAUUUUUCUUCAUUCAAAUAAAUUCAUACUCAUAAAGCCUUUCCCCACUUUGUAUUUCAUAUUCUAAAUGUUUCUACUAGUAUUGUUAACCAUUGCAAAGAAAUACUGUUGCCCUCCAUUAAAACCUGAACUGC